AUGUCCAUCAGGGUGACCCAGAAGUCCUACAAGGUGUCACCUCUCUGCCAGGGGCCUUCAGCAGCCACUCCUACAAGAGUGGGCCCAGUGCCCUCAUCAGCUUCUCGAGCUUCUCCCAAGUGGGCAGCAGCAGCUUCCAGUGUGGCCUGGGUGGAAGUUAUGGUGGGGCCAGCAGCAUGGGAGACAUCACCACUGUCACAGUCAACCAGAGCCUGCUGAGCCCCCUUAACCUGAAGGUGGACCCCAACAUCCAGGCAGUGCGCACACAGGAGAAGGAGCAGAUCAAGACCCUCAGCAACAAGUUUGCCUCCUUCAUCGACAAGGUACAGUUCCUGGAGCAGCAGAACAAGAUGCUGGAGACCAAGUGGAGCCUCCUGCAGCAGCAGAAGAGGGCUUGGAGCAACAUGGACAACAUGUUCCAGAGCUACAUCAACAACCUUAGGCGGCAGCUGGAGACUCUGGAUCAGGAGAAGCUGGAGCUGGAGGCAGAGCUUGGCAUCACGCAGGGGCUGGUGGAGGACUUCAAGAACAAGUACAAGGAUGAGAACAAUAAGCAUAUAGAGAUGGAGAAUGAAUUUGUCCUUAUCAAGAAGGAUGUGGAUGAAGCUUAUGUGAACAAGUUAGAGCUGGAGUCUCCCCUGGAAGGGCUGACUGAUGAGAUCAACUUCCUCAGGCAGCUGUAUGAAGAGGAGAUCCGGAAGCUGCUGUCCCAGAUCUGGGACAUGUCUGUGGUCCUGUCCAUGGACAACAGCCGCUUCCUGGACAUGGACAGCAUCAUCGCUGAGGUCAAGGUGCAGUACGAGGAGGUCACCAAGUGAAGCAGGGCUGAGGCUGAGAGCAUGUACCAGAAUAAGUAUGAGGAGCUGCAGACGCUGGCUGGGAAGCACGGGGAUGACCUGCAGUGCACAAAGACUGAGAUCUCCGAGAUGAACCAGAACAUCAGCCAGCUCUAGGCUGAGAUUGAGGGCCUCAAAGGCCAGAGGGCUUCCCUGGAGGCCGCCAUCACAGUUGCUGAACAGCCGGGAAGCUGGCCAUUAAAGAUGCCAACACCAAGGUGUCCGAGCUAGAGGGUACCCUGCAGCAAGCCAAGCAGGACUUGGAGCGGCAGCUGCGCGAGUACCAGAAGCUGAUGAACAUCAAGCUGGCCCUGGACAUCGAGAUUGCCACCUACAGAAACCUGCUGCAGGGCGAGGAGAACCAGCUGGAGUCUGAGAUGCAGAACAUGAGUAUCCAUAGGAAGACCACCAGCGGCUAUGCAGGUGGGCUGAGCUCGACCUAGGGGGACCUCACAACUCCCAGCCUCAGCUAUGGCCUGGGUUCCAGUUUUGGCUCUGCUGCAGGCUCCAGCUCCUUCAGCCAAACCAGUUCCACCAGGGUCAUGGUUGUGAAGAAGAUCGAGACCCGCGAUGGGAAGCUGGUGUCGGAGUCCUCUGAUGUCCUGCCCAAGUGAACAGCUGCGGCAGCCCCUCCAGCCUACCCCUGCUGCGGCUGCCCCAGAGCCUUGGAGGGAGGCCGCUGUGCAGGGGAGCACAGGGAACAGGAGACCCACCUGAGGCUCAGCCCUAGCCCUCAGCCCACUGGCAGGGGAGUUUACUGACUGGGGAACCCCCUUGCCCAUGCCUCCAGCUACAAAACAAUUCAAUUGCUCUGUUCUUUUUGGACC